UACGUAGGGUGCGAGCGUUGUCCGGAAUUAUUGGGCGUAAAGAGCUUGUAGGCGGUCUGUCGCGUCUGCUGUGAAAAUCCGGGGCUCAACCCCGGACUUGCAGUGGGUACGGGCAGACUAGAGUGUGGUAGGGGAGACUGGAAUUCCUGGUGUAGCGGUGAAAUGCGCAGAUAUCAGGAGGAACACCGAUGGCGAAGGCAGGUCUCUGGGCCACUACUGACGCUGAGGCAUGAAAGCGUGGGGAGCAAACAGG
rnacentral:rRNA from 1 species